rfam:Oryza meridionalis cultivar OR44 (W2112) chromosome 2, whole genome shotgun sequence.
AAAAAGACAAACUCUGGGUUUCCGUGUCCAACGUUUAACUGUCUGUCUUAUAUUAAAUAUUUUUAUAAUUAGUAUUUUCAUUGUUGUUAGAUGAUAAAACAUGAUUAAUACUUUAUGCGUGACUUAUCUUUUUAAUUUUUUUUCAUAAUUUUUUCAAAUAAGACGGACGGUUAAAUGUUGGACACGGAAACCUAGCGUUUGUCUUUUU